UAACAAAGGUAAAUAAAUAAUUUAGAUUACUCAUAGUAUCAUAAUCAUUGGAUAAUCAAAUAAUUCCAUUGAAUCAGAUUAUUUCUAGCUGAGCUCGCUCGUAAAUUCGGCGAAUAAAUAGUUGGUGGGGCCAAACUUUGUACAGCUAGGAAAAGAAACGCUUCAUUGGCAAAAUUGGUGACACCAACGAUGAACUGAGUGUAGAAGCCCCUUUGCUUCUGCUAACAAAAAUGGCUUCAGUUCAUCUUCUUCACAGUUCAAUUCUCUUCAAUUCUUUCAAUUCAACAAAAAGAAAUGAUUUUUCUGCUUUCAAAAUUCAUGGGUCUCCUUCUAUUAACCAGAAACAUAAUCUUCGAAAGUACCCAUCUUUCAAAACCAUGUCAUCUGGGGAUAGAAGACAAUUAGAGAUAGUGUAUGACCCAGAAGAAAGAUUGAAUAAAUUAGCAGAUGAAGUGGAUAAGGAAGCUGGUCUUUCUAGGCUCACUCUUUUCUCACCUUGUAAGGUGAAUGUGUUUUUGAGGAUAACUGGAAAAAGGGAGGAUGGAUAUCAUGAUUUGGCGUCUCUAUUUCAUGUGAUAAGUUUGGGGGAUAAAAUAAAAUUCUCUUUGUCGCCUUCAAGGACCAAGGAUAGUUUAUCAACAAAUGUGGCUGGAGUUCCCCUUGAUGAUAAAAACCUGAUAAUUAAGGCUCUAAACUUGUAUCGGCAGAAGACAGGCAGUGACAAAUAUUUUUGGAUUCAUCUUGAUAAGAAGGUUCCUACAGGAGCCGGGCUUGGAGGAGGAAGUAGCAAUGCUGCUACUGCACUUUGGGCAGCGAAUCAAUUUAGUGGUGGUAUUGCAACAGAAAAAGAACUUCAAGAAUGGUCAAGUGAAAUAGGUUCUGAUAUUCCUUUUUUCUUCUCCCGUGGAGCUGCAUAUUGUACUGGAAGGGGUGAGGAAGUUAAAAAUAUCCCACCACCCAUACCUUUGGAUACUCCAAUGGUCCUUAUAAAGCCACAAGAAGCAUGCUCCACUGCCCAAGUUUACAAGAGCCUUCGUUUGGAUCAAACUAGCAAGGUUGAUCCUCUAUCUUUAUUAGAGAAAAUAUCGAGAGAAGGAAUCUCUCAAGAUGUAUGCAUCAAUGAUUUGGAGCUUCCUGCAUUCGGAGUUCUUCCAACUCUGCGAAGAUUGAAACAACGCAUAAUUGCAGCCAGCCGCGGACAAUAUGAUGCUGUUUUUAUGUCUGGAAGUGGAAGCACCAUUGUUGGGAUUGGUUCUCCUGAUCCACCACAGUUUCUCUACGACGAUGAAGCAUACAAGGAUGUCUUCUUAUCUGAGGCUACCUUCAUCACUCGAGAAGAGAAUCAAUGGUAUUCAGAACCUUCAAGUAGUUCUACCGGCUCAGUUGCUGAAUUUUCCCGGCCACUUAGUGAUGGAAUUACACAGUAACAUGAUGUUGCUGAGAAAUGCUGGGACAUGUCUCUUGCUGCUUCAGUGAAUUUCGAGGUGACUUUCAGAAAUUAUUUUUCGUUGUAUAGAGCAAACCUAUCCUUCACUGUUGAAUGAAGGUUAGUAUACUUCAAUGAAAAUCUUCUCUCUGUAACAUUUGUUCUCCCAGGUCACACAUCAGUUAUUUUUGUUACCAUAAAGUCAUGAACUGUACCUCUUAGAGGAAGAGAAAUAAGUAAUUUCUCUUCUUAUUUUGAAAUUUGUUUAUUCUUUUUACCUAUAUGUUGUGUAGAACAUAAGGUGAUAGUAUGCAAAAUCAUAUGCUAUGAGCUUUGGAAAUAUCCUUGAGACUCGAUCUGAUGAUGAUUAACAUAAUCAAACAAGAAAAGUCAAAAACUUCAUAGGAAAUAGAGAAAGUGAGACAAACAAGUGUGUUAAGGUGGCGAAGGAUGAAUCUAUCAGAAAAUGGAAAAAAAGGAACAAGAAAAUAGAGUAUGGCAGGCAUUAUUAUGCAGUUAUCAUGCAUGCUACUUGCCGCUGAAUGCUGGGAAUUCUCGAUCAUUCAAUGCUGGAGAACAUCCGUUUGCUGAGUGCAAACUUGAGGUGCUCGUGGAUAAUGAAUCCCUCAGCUUCACUAUCAACAUCUUCUUCUUGCUUCUUUCGUGCACCAUUAUGAUUUCUCUGUAUGAACUGUUCAGCUUCAGCAUUAAUGUCUUCUCCAUAUUUGAUGUUCCCAGUUCUCCAGUCUCUACUCGAAUCAUUAGGAGGCUCAUCUUUGUGUUUCUUUGGCAGGGAAAAUAGGUGCGAGAAAUAAGCAUCAGUUUCAUUCAAGCAUGUGUAUGCUGAAUGCUUCUGUGGAUCUGUGACACAGACCUUGUCCUAGAAAUUUUUCAAGAAUUGGUGUAUUACACGUGGAAUCUUCAACUCAAACCUAUUUUCCUAUUGUCUAUUGAUAUACUUCCUCCA